rnacentral:rRNA from 1 species
UACGGGGGGGGCAAGCGUUGUUCGGAAUUACUGGGCGUAAAGGGCUCGUAGGCGGCCCACUAAGUCAGACGUGAAAUCCCUCGGCUUAACCGGGGAACUGCGUCUGAUACUGGAUGGCUUGAGGUUGGGAGAGGGAUGCGGAAUUCCAGGUGUAGCGGUGAAAUGCGUAGAUAUCUGGAGGAACACCGGUGGCGAAGGCGGCAUCCUGGUCCGAUACUGACGCUGAGGCGCGAAAGCGUGGGGAGCAAACAGG